UGGCUCAGUGGUUAAGAGCGCUGGUCUUCCAGAGGUCCUGAGUUCAAUUCCCAG
rnacentral:tRNA from 1 species